GCAGCAGCCACGGUAAUACGUAGGUGGCAAGCGUUAUCCGGAAUUAUUGGGCGUAAAGCGCGCGUAGGCGGUCUUUUAAGUCUGAUGUGAAAGCCCACGGCUCAACCGUGGAGGGUCAUUGGAAACUGGAAAACUUGAGUGCAGAAGAGGAAAGUGGAAUUCCAUGUGUAGCGGUGAAAUGCGCAGAGAUAUGGAGGAACACCAGUGGCGAAGGCGACUUUCUGGUCUGUAACUGACGCUGAUGUGCGAAAGCGUGGGGAUCAAACAGGAUUAGAGACCCCGGUAGUCCCUGUCUCUUAUAA
rnacentral:rRNA from 1 species